GGUCCUUCGAGAUCAGCUGUUAAUUUUUGAGGUAUUUUCCAAAGUGCCCAUUUGGUAGGAAAAAAAAAAAUGCAUAGAUGGUUUUAUCCAUCUUCACCACAUAACAUAAACAAGUUCACUCUCCUAUUUUAAUUCAUGAGAAAAUCACCCUCCAAAUAAUUAAAAUAACCUUCUGUCACUUCAGCAUAGCAGCCUGCACUGUGUGAGAGCUGCUUGUAAUGAGCGCCUUGAGAAGAGGCUUCAACCCCAAGGCAAACAUCUGUGGAAAUUUUAUGAGAGCCUAGACUAAGGGAAAAGCCAGCAUCAGACAUUUGUAGGCUUCUUUUGGACUAAACACAAGAGAUCCCACUGUCUAUUGGAUGAGGAAAGACUGGUGGACUUCAUGGGAUAGUGGGGAGGAAAUCUCACAACUCCCUUAGCACAAACACAGUUGCUCAAGAUUUCUGCUUCUUCCAGGUUCAUCAUAUUCUUACAUGAAAUGUCCUUAAAUAAGAGGAUGGUCUAUUUGUAAAUAGAUGAGCUCCAUUUCUAGUUAACUUAGUCUUAUUGUGUUGUGCCUUAGCAAUAUUGUAUUGGUGAUAGCUGAACUGAACUGGUCAUUUAACACUCACAAUAAAAUGGGAUGCUGAGAUCAUAAUCAUGUCUGGUGCCACAACAUAGGAAGCUGCCCAUGAGCCAAUGGUUGGCACUGGCUGAAUGGGCUGUGAGUUUGUGCUCAUUCAGAAGGUCCUGGAAUGGCCAGCUGUUGGAUAGAAGACAACCAGAGAUAUGUUACGAGGCACUGACCUUCCAUGGCAGAAGUAUGUUCAUUAAUAUCCUGGACUGUCUCCUUCAGACAGCUGAAACUUGUAAGCAUACAGCCUUAUGUUUGAUCCGUGCCAAGGAUGAGAUGCAGCCAGCACAGAAGGUGAUGCCUUUGGAGAAGAAAAACCUGCACGCUGGCCAUUUAUCAACCAAAGGCAGAGCCUAGCACAUCUACACGACUUUUGAGAGCAAAUCUUGGAAUAAAUUACUCCCUCAGGCACA
rnacentral:lncRNA from 1 species